UUUCAGUCAGCUUGGAUGGUUCCCAGUGGGCGAUUGAUCUUCAUAUGAUGUUAUUUGCCUAUUCUGGAAAAUAAUAGGACAUUAACAUUAUUUGGGAUCAAAUUCCAAAGACAGUCAAGAUUAUUUUUAAAGUCGUGUAAGUUUCUUCUUCUUCUAGCCUUCUUUUUUUGCUUUUUUUGCUUAUUUUUUAGCUUUUGUCUACUGCUAUUGAUUUUUCUGCUCCAGUAUCUAAUUUAGGGGAUUUUAACAGAACUAAUUCUGUCAUGCUCUUUGUUUGUUCUAGGAUUUGAUUUUGGGUUGAUUUAGUUUGAUUAAUCAGUAUUUUUCCUGCUCUUCAAUUUUGUUUACUUGUAUUCUUAGAUUUUUAGUUCCUGAUUUCUUGUUCUCUUCUGUUUGCAUUAACUCCAUGUAAUUUCAUUUGUUCUUAAUUUUUUGGGCUUGACUGAUAUUGGAAUUAAUUCUGGCUUUUCAGGUUAGAUUCUAUAGUUAGUUUUGGAUUUUGAUUCUUAAAAUAGGAAAAUUAGGCUAUUAGUUCAAUUUUGGGAGGGUUUAAUUAUAAUUGAAUUGAUUUAACAUUGCUGAACAUUUCCAGCCCCUUGGCUAAUUAACUAUGGUCAUUUUUGACCAGGUUUAAAAGGGAUGGGUUUAUGUUGACAUAUGUUAGUAAUUUUAGGAUUAAUUCAGGGGUAGUUUAGGUAUUAUUAUAAAAAGAAUCUUGCAGUAACUGAAUUGAAGCCCCUUAGAACCUUCUAGAUUAAGGUUCUAAUUUGAAAUUCAAGAAUUGGGUAGCAUAACUUGACCAACAAGUCAUAAAUUGAAGGACUAAGUAGCUAAAAACUGAAAUUAAAUGAGGGAAUAAGGGUGUAAAGUAAACAAUCUACAAAUUGCCCUAGCUUGGCCUAUAAAAAGGGUAAUCCCUUGCCUUGCAAAAAAGGGGGAGAGAUCUGAAAAUUUGGAGAGGUUUGGAGUUCCAGAAGUCUGAAAAAUUCAAAAACUCAAAAUUUUUUAGAUCCAGAGAUCUUAAAAUUCAAAAUUCAAAUCCAAAAACCAAAAAAAAAAAAAAAAUCUUACAACCUGAUAGUUGAGAGAUAAUAUUGAAAAUCAACAAAAAUUCUAUAGAAACUGAGAGUUUUGAGAAUUUAGAGUUUUAUAUCUUAGAUUUAUAGACAUAAAAAAGUUUUGCAACUUUAGUGUUAAGGUUGAGAGGUCCCUUGGGUUAUUUGAAGUUCAGUUUGGAGUCACUCAAGCUUAGAUUGUUUAUUUACUGGUGCUGUUUGCAUUGAAAGCAUUUCCUGGGAUGUUUGAUAAAAUUUUUGGGUUUAAAAUUGAUCUUAAGUUGAUGGUUCCUGUUACAUUACUGCUGCUGAACUUGCUGCCUCUUACCUCUGCCUUAUUUCCAUUUUCAGGUAUUUCCUUUGGCGCAUAACUGAGGAUCAACUGCUAAACGUGUAAUAGAUUUUAAGUACUUUGAAGGAUACAUUCAAGUCUUAUCUCCAUGUUAUUUUACUGUUUUCAUGUUUCACAAAUUUAGCUAUAGAAUCAUAGGUAAUGAGUAG
rnacentral:lncRNA from 1 species